AUUGAACGCUGGCGGCAGGCCUAACGCAUGCAAGUCGAACGGUAGCACAGAGGAGCUUGCUCCUUGGGUGACGAGUGGCGGACGGGUGAGUAAUGUCUGGGAAACUGCCCGAUGGAGGGGGAUAACUACUGGAAACGGUAGCUAAUACCGCAUAACGUCGCAAGACCAAAGAGGGGGACCUUCGGGCCUCUUGCCAUCGGAUGUGCCCAGAUGGGAUUAGCUAGUAGGUGGGGUAACGGCUCACCUAGGCGACGAUCCCUAGCUGGUCUGAGAGGAUGACCAGCCAAACUGGAACUGAGACACGGUCCAGACUCCUACGGGAGGCAGCAGUGGGGAAUAUUGCACAAUGGGCGCAAGCCUGAUGCAGCCAUGCCGCGUGUAUGAAGAAGGCCUUCGGGUUGUAAAGUACUUUCAGCGAGGAGGAAGGCGUUGUGGUUAAUAACCGCAGCGAUUGACGUUACUCGCAGAAGAAGCACCGGCUAACUCCGUGCCAGCCGCCGCCGUAA
rnacentral:rRNA from 1 species